ACCGGCAAACGGGUGCGUAACACGUACGCAACCUUCCCGUUACUGUGGCAUAGCCCAGGGAAACUUGGAUUAAUACCACACAUUACAUAGAGGCGGCAUCGUCUUUAUGUCAAAGCUUCGGCGGUAACGGAUGGGCGUGCGGUUGAUUAGGUAGUUGGCGGGGUAACGGCCCACCAAGCCUACGAUCAAUAGCUGAUGUGAGAGCAUGAUCAGCCACACGGGCACUGAGACACGGGCCCGACUCCUACGGGAGGCAGCAGUAAGGAAUAUUGGGCAAUGGACGCAAGUCUGACCCAGCCAUGCCGCGUGAAGGAUUAAGGUCCUCUGGAUUGUAAACUUCUUUUCUCUGGGGCGAAAACCAGCUAUUCUUAGCUAUUUGACAGUACCAGAGGAAUAAGCACCGGCUAACUCCGUGCCAGCAGCCGCGGUAAUACGGAGGGCGCAAGCGUUAUCCGGAUUCACUGGGUUUAAAGGGUGCGUAGGUGGGCUAGUAAGUCCGUGGUGAAAUCCCCGAGCUUAACUUGGGAACUGCCAUUGAUACUAUUAGUCUUGAAUAUCGUGGAGGUAAGCGGAAUAUGUCAUGUAGCGGUGAAAUGCUUAGAUAUGACAUAGAACACCAAUUGCGAAGGCAGCUUGCUACACGGUCAUUGACACUGAGGCACGAAAGCGUGGGGAGCAAACAGGAUUAGAUACCCUGGUA
rnacentral:rRNA from 1 species